rnacentral:rRNA from 1 species
UACAGAGGUCUCAAGCGUUGUUCGGAUUCAUUGGGCGUAAAGGGUGCGUAGGUGGCGCCGUAAGUCGGGUGUGAAAUUUCGGAGCUUAACUCCGAAACUGCAUUCGAUACUGCGGUGCUUGAGGACUGGAGAGGGGACUGGAAUUCAUGGUGUAGCAGUGAAAUGCGUAGAGAUCAUGAGGAAGACCAGUGGCGAAGGCGGGUCUCUGGACAGUUCCUGACACUGAGGCACGAAGGCCAGGGGAGCAAACGGG